AUGAACGCUAGCUACAGGCUUAACACAUGCAAGUCGAGGGGCAGCAUGGUCUUAGCUUGCUAAGGCCGAUGGCGACCGGCGCACGGGUGAGUAACACGUAUCCAACCUGCCGUCUACUCUUGGACAGCCUUCUGAAAGGAAGAUUAAUACAAGAUGGCAUCAUGAGUCCGCAUGUUCACAUGAUUAAAGGUAUUCCGGUAGACGAUGGGGAUGCGUUCCAUUAGAUAGUAGGCGGGGUAACGGCCCACCUAGUCUUCGAUGGAUAGGGGUUCUGAGAGGAAGGUCCCCCACAUUGGAACUGAGACACGGUCCAAACUCCUACGGGAGGCAGCAGUGAGGAAUAUUGGUCAAUGGGCGCAGGCCUGAACCAGCCAAGUAGCGUGAAGGAUGACUGCCCUAUGGGUUGUAAACUUCUUUUAUAAAGGAAUAAAGUCGGGUAUGGAUACCCGUUUGCAUGUACUUUAUGAAUAAGGAUCGGCUAACUCCGUGCCAGCAGCCGCGGUAAUACGGAGGAUCCGAGCGUUAUCCGGAUUUAUUGGGUUUAAAGGGAGCGUAGAUGGAUGUUUAAGUCAGUUGUGAAAGUUUGCGGCUCAACCGUAAAAUUGCAGUUGAUACUGGAUAUCUUGAGUGCAGUUGAGGCAGGCGGAAUUCGUGGUGUAGCGGUGAAAUGCUUAGAUAUCACGAAGAACUCCGAUUGCGAAGGCAGCCUGCUAAGCUGCAACUGACAUUGAGGCUCGAAAGUGUGGGUAUCAAACAGGAUUAGAUACCCUGGUAGUCCACACGGUAAACGAUGAAUACUCGCUGUUUGCGAUAUACUGCAAGCGGCCAAGCGAAAGCGUUAAGUAUUCCACCUGGGGAGUACGCCGGCAACGGUGAAACUCAAAGGAAUUGACGGGGGCCCGCACAAGCGGAGGAACAUGUGGUUUAAUUCGAUGAUACGCGAGGAACCUUACCCGGGCUUAAAUUGCAGAUGAAUUACGGUGAAAGCCGUAAGCCGCAAGGCAUCUGUGAAGGUGCUGCAUGGUUGUCGUCAGCUCGUGCCGUGAGGUGUCGGCUUAAGUGCCAUAACGAGCGCAACCCUUGUUGUCAGUUACUAACAGGUUCCGCUGAGGACUCUGACAAGACUGCCAUCGUAAGAUGUGAGGAAGGUGGGGAUGUCGUCAAAUCAGCACGGCCCUUACGUCCGGGGCUACACACGUGUUACAAUGGGGGGUACAGAGGGCCGCUACCACGCGAGUGGAUGCCAAUCCCAAAAACCUCUCUCAGUUCGGACUGGAGUCUGCAACCCGACUCCACGAAGCUGGAUUCGCUAGUAAUCGCGCAUCAGCCACGGCGCGGUGAAUACGUUCCCGGGCCUUGUACACACCGCCCGUCAAGCCAUGGGAGCCGGGGGUACCUGAAGUGCGUAACCGCGAGGAGCGCCCUAGGGUAAAACU
rnacentral:rRNA from 1 species